UUCGAAACGUCAAAAUCAGUCAUUUUUCAUUUUUGUUUCAUUCAGCCUUCCCAGCCCAUUGGGGGAAUCCUGAAAUCAGCAUUACCUUCACCACUGCAACCUGCUGCUCAGUUUGGUCAUUGGCACUCCCUUCCCUACGCCUUCUGCACCCAAAAGGAGUGAAGCUGUCAGUCUGGGAUGCAGCAGCGACACCAGAUUCACUAAUGUGAAAAGACAGCGCACACUGAAAGCCAAUGCUCUGGAAUGGCACCAGCUCGAAGUCAAUUUUUGUUCUCCGGUGGAACUAACAAAUAGAGUCCUUGGCUUCCCCAAAACGCACAAAGCAUUUUAUUGGGAACCUUCUCUACUAUUUCUCUGCUUCCCUGCUCUUACUUAAAAGACCGAAAGCGUUUGAAAAUAUUCCUCCUUUGUUCUGUUUCUGUAGGAAGUGUGUGGAGGGGUGUGCAGGCAGAUUGACAGCAGCUGCUACAUAGGGCUUUGUGCUGAUACCUCGAGAACUGCAGUGCGUGGGGUCCAAAGUGCUGCUGUGUCUGUGUCUGUGCCUGGCAGGCUGCUUGCUUGCUGGGUUGAUGCUGCUGGGGACCAUGCCUUUCCCCAGAGACAUAGGGUGGGCUUUGCAAGCUCCAGUGAAGCUCCCAACAAGGGCUGAUGAGCCUCCUUCUGUUCUUUGUAUGUCAAUGUGGAAAUCGUGACUCUUCCCUAGGGUGACAGUGGAAGUGAUUGCAAACAAAUCUGUGUCAUCUCCGUGUUACUGCUGCCCUGCUUCUAGAGCAAACUUCUGCCUUACUUAUGGGUUUGUCAUUGUUUCUGCUGUGCACGCCGGCGGCGUCCCAAGUGGUGCAACCAGCACGGAGAGGUGGGCGAGGCGAGCACAACAGGAAUCACUUCAAGGGGUGCCCAACCCAUGGGUACACUGCAUAAAAUGUAGGGAAUGAGCACAGUGGGUGCUGCAGUGCUGAGACUGUGACUGUGUCCUGUGCCGGAUGGAGGACCUGGGCUCUGCAUGAGAGCACAAGUGAGUAUUCCUGACUUCCCACAGUGUUUUGAAUGCAA
rnacentral:lncRNA from 1 species